UGAUUUUCCUGCAUACGGGAUGUUGUCUGGGUGGAUGACUGCUGGAAAGUUAGCCUGUCCUUACUGCAUGGAGAAUACUAAAUCGUUCACUUUAAAGCAUGGCAAAAAAAAUUCAUGGUUUGAUUGUCACCGUCAAUUCUUGCCAAUGGAUCAUGAGUUUAGGAGUAUGAAAAAUGCAUUUAGGAAGAACAAAAUUGAACGAAACUAUCCACCUCCAAGACUUUCAGGAGAGGAAAUUUGGGAGAGGGUUGAGAACUUUCCGAAAGUUACUGAAGAACCACCGUACAAGUUCGAUGGGUAUGGGCUUGCACAUAACUGGACCAAACAAAGCAUAUUUUGGGAGUUACCAUAUUGGAAGGAUAAUCUUCUCCGGCAUAAUCUUGAUGUCAUGCACAUUGAAAAAAAUUACUUUGAUAAUUUAUUCAACACAGUAAUGGAUGUCAAGGGCAAGACAAAAGAUAAUCCAAAGGCUAGAUUGGACUUACAGGAAUAUUGUAUGCGUAAAGAGUUAUGGUUGCAGGACAAACGGAACGGGGUCUUCAAGCCUAAGGCUAGUUAUUCAUUCACAAUGGAUCAUAAGCGAAAGAUUUGUGAAUGGGUUAAGAACUUGAAGAUGCCUGAUGGGUAUGCAUCAAAUUUGGAAAAACGUGUUGAUAUGGCGCAAGGAAAGUUACAUGGGAUGAAAAGCCAUGAUUGUCAUGUUUUCAUGGAAACUUUACUCCCCAUUGCAUUUAGUAGCUUGCCCACCCGAAUCUGGAAGCCUAUGACUGAAAUUAGUUUGUUCUUCAAAGACUUGUGUUCCAGCACAUUGAGGGUAGACAACCUGGAUCGGAUGCAUCAGAAUAUUCCUGUAAUAACAAGUAAGUUGGAGAAAAUUCUUCCACCGGGAUUCUUCGAUGUGAUGGAACAUCUUCCAAUUCACCUUGCGGAGGAAGCUCGACUCGGAGGCCCAGUUCAUUGUCGUUGGAUGUAUCCCUUCGAGAGAACUAUUGGCAAGUCUAAACGGGGUAUCAAGCAGAAACAUAGAGUUGAAGGAUCAAUUUGCGAAGCCUAUCUUGCUAAGGAAACGGCUCAUUUCUGUUCUUACUACUUUGGGGAUGAUGUGGCAUGCUUGCGAAACAGACCCAAUCGGCAUUAUGAAGGAGAUACCUCAACGAAGACAUUCUUUGAGCCAUUUCGACAUUUUAGAGAUCUGAGAGGGGUAAUGCACUUGACAAUCUUGACGGUGUAGUGAUGGCAGGUGAAAAGGGGGGUAAGAAAACAAAGAAGGCUAAGGAGACGGGGGUUCCCCGGAGACCAUCACAAAACCUUGUGAUUAGAGAUAGAAGCUCGUCGCCACAUCUCCCACCACGCGGUGCUCCAUUGCCUUAUGAUCCCCUUAUGAACGGCAUUGCAUAUAGUCUUCCACCUCCACAUAGCUUUGGUCGGCCCUAUAUGGCUCCACGCCAGGGCUUUACUGAGGCGCCUCCCCAGAGCCCCUCGAUGAUGUCCACACCAGGUUAUCCUACCCCACAGGGCUUCACUCGGUAUACUCUCGGAUCUCAGCGAGCUACGUCUAGUGGUACUCCGACGGCCACUCCUAGCCCGACUGCAACACAUCAUUCUUCAUCAUCUACUGAACUGUACGAGAUUACGGGUCCUGACCUUCGAGAAAGUAGUUCUCCGCCUCACACUCCUACCGCAAGUGAAUUACCUGGAGGUGUACGUGCUCCACAACUGGAAUCUUAUGACUCAUCAGGGCGACUCAUCAUCGAGCCUGCGGGAUACGGGUACGAAUAGCAAAACUAUUUAAAGACUCACCUACUUGGGGCCAGAUGUCACCAAAUCGCCAGAGACAGAUCUAUUAUGCGUUUAAGGAAAAAUGUGUCUGGCUCCCGGAACAUGAGAAGCAGCUAACUCAAAACUUCAAGAAGAAAGCUCAGCGCUUACUAUGUGACAUGUUAGGAAGGGUUCGUGAAUCUAACAAGAAGCCUACGUGGAUCCUUCCUGAAAACUAUGCCAAGCUACUGCAUUACUGGGCAACUAAUGAAAGAUUCUUACAAUUGAGUGACAUAGGGAAGAAGGCUAGAAAUUCGACGAAGGGUGGCUCCCUACACACUAGUGGGGCUAUGAGCCAAGAGGCCGUGAGGAGGAAGCUGGCAAGUCUACCUUAAGUGUACUUGAAGGAUUGUGAAUUUACUUUAUUGUCUUUAUGUCUAAUCAAUUUAUU